UACAGAGGUCUCAAGCGUUGUUCGGAUUCAUUGGGCGUAAAGGGUGCGUAGGCGGCGCGGUAAGUCGGGUGUGAAAUCGUCGGGCUUAACUCCGAAACUGCAUUCGAUACUGCCGGUGCUUUGGAGGGACUGGAGAGGAGACGUGGUAAUUUGACGGUGUAGCGGUGAAAUGCGUAGAUAUCGAUAGGAACUCCGGUGGCGAAGGCGGCAUACUGGACCACCACUGACGCUGAUGCGCGAAAGCCAGGGGAGCAAACGGG
rnacentral:rRNA from 1 species